rnacentral:rRNA from 1 species
GAUGAACGCUGGCGGCGUGCCUAAUACAUGCAAGUCGAGCGAACAGACGAGGAGCUUGCUCCUCUGACGUUAGCGGCGGACGGGUGAGUAACACGUGGAUAACCUACCUAUAAGACUGGGAUAACUUCGGGAAACCGGAGCUAAUACCGGAUAAUAUAUUGAACCGCAUGGUUCAAUAGUGAAAGACGGUUUUGCUGUCACUUAUAGAUGGAUCCGCGCCGCAUUAGCUAGUUGGUAAGGUAACGGCUUACCAAGGCAACGAUGCGUAGCCGACCUGAGAGGGUGAACGGCCACACAGGAACUGAGACACGGUCCAGACUCCUACGGGAGGCAGCAGUAGGGAAGCUUCCGCAAUGGGCGGAAGCCUGACGGAGGAACGCCGCGUGAGUGAUGAAGGUCUUCGGAUCGUAAGACUGUGUUAUUAGGGAAGAACAAAUGUGUAAGUAACUAUGCACGUCUUGACGGUACCUGAUCAGAAAGCCACGGCUAACUACGUG